CGUGAGGGCUAGGGGGAGCCUUGCACCCCCAGGGUGCUUCUCCCCAGUCCGGCUCCGCGGUGGUCCCGCCCCAGGCCACGCUGGACACCUAGACUUGGGGUCUGUUUGCUGGGCACAGGUAGGCGGGCGUGGGACUCUCUUACCCGCUGGCGCCGCCUCCCCUCUGCCGCGCGGUGUCCGGAAAGUGGAAGAGCCGGGGCGGGCUGAUUCAGGAUGAGAGAACUGAAGCACAGCAAGGUUAAAGUGUUUUGGCCAAGGUCAAAUCCAGGCAGUCUGGUCCCCGGAUGUACUCUCUAGCUCAUAUCUGGCUGCUGCCAAACAGCAUAAAUAACUGUCACAAGGA